UCAACGAGUCGGGUUGUUUGGGAAUGCAGCCCAAAUCGGGCGGUAGACUCCGUCCAAGGCUAAAUACAGGCGAGAGACCGAUAGCGAACAAGUACCGCGAGGGAAAGAUGAAAAGGACUUUGAAAAGAGAGUCAAAGAGUGCUUGAAAUUGCCGGGAGGGAAGCGGAUGGGGGCCGGCGAUGCGCCCCGGCCGUAUGCGGAACGACUCUUGCUGGUCCGCCGCUCGGCUCGGGGUGUGGACUGUUGUCGGCCGCGCAGGCGACCAAAGCCCGGGGGCCCUAGGUGCCCCCGGUGGCCGUCGUCGGCACGGCCGGUACCCGCGCGCCGAAAGGCGUGUCCCUCGGGGCACUGCGCUGCAACGGCCUGCGGGCUCCCCAU
rnacentral:rRNA from 1 species